rnacentral:rRNA from 1 species
GACAGAGGUGCCGAGCGUUAGGCGGAAUCACUGGGCUUAAAGCGCGUGUAGGCGGGGUGGCACGUCGGUCGCUGAAAGCCCCCGGCUCAACCGGGGAAGGGGCGCCGAUACGACCACCCUGGAGGGACGUAGGGGGACCUGGAACUUCCGGUGGAGCGGUGAAAUGCGUUGAGAUCGGAAGGAACGCCCGUGGCGAAAGCGAGGUCCUGGACGUUUACUGACGCUGAGACGCGAAAGCCAGGGGAGCGAACGGG